ensembl:lncRNA
GGAACUCACUCACUCGUCAAUAAAUGCAAAAUAAAAGACUGGAACUCACUCACUCGUCUUUUAAAUGCAAAAUAAGAAUUCUAACAAUUUUGUAUCAAUUUAGAACCACAAACCGUUUGUUAGUUAACCAUAACAACAGAGCGUCUAUGGCUGUGCGCGCGCACACUCUAUCUCUCGCCGGAGCUCCCCAAUCUCUCUUCAAUGAUUAAUUUGAUUCGUUGGACUGAAGAGACGCUUUACCUGCAGUAGAGCUUCCAGACGGGACAGGAACAGAUCAAACAACCGUAUUAAUUUGUGCUCCUGAACCCAUCCAUUCGUGAACUGCACAUGAGACUCCAAGGACUUGUAGCUUCGGAACUGUUCUGACGUUUAGGCGCUCACACCACAAACAAGGUAGCCGAAGACGUCUGAUAUGCAAAACUGUGGCAACAGGUCGUCGUCGGUGCUCCACUCAUUGUUUGGAACUUCAUAUGGAUCCAAAUUAUUAAUAAUGCUGAUUUUGUCACCAUACCGGUCCCUGGCAUCUCUAUUUAAUGUGUCCCGGUACACUUUGAAGAUGACCAAUUCACUGCCACAAAAAGAGAAGGGAUGUUGAUGUUGAGGCCCGAUGCAGUCCCAACAGUUUUCAUUCAUCGCCCUAAGCCGAAGAGAAGGAAACCCCCUUCUGUGAGGGUGCCUCCAGAACCAAGCGCAACGGACCACACAUAUUGCGCCAAAUUAAACUUCG